rnacentral:rRNA from 1 species
CGCUUCUUUUUCCACCGGAGCUUGCUCCACCGGAAAAAGAGGAGUGGCGAAUCGGGUGAGUAACACGUGGGUAACCUGCCCAUCAGAAGGGGAUAACACUUGGAAACAGGUGCUAAUACCGUAUAACAAUCGAAACCGCAUGGUUUUGAUUUGAAAGGCGCUUUCGGGUGUCGCUGAUGGAUGGACCCGCGGUGCAUUAGCUAGUUGGUGAGGUAACGGCUCACCAAGGCGACGAUGCAUAGCCGACCUGAGAGGGUGAUCGGCCACAUUGGGACUGAGACACGGCCCAAACUCCUACGGGAGGCAGCAGUAGGGAAUCUUCGGCAAUGGACGAAAGUCUGACCGAGCAACGCCGCGUGAGUGAAGAAGGUUUUCGGAUCGUAAAACUCUGUUGUUAGAGAAGAACAAGGAUGAGAGUAACUGUUCAUCCCUUGACGGUAUCUAACCAGAAAGCCACGGCUAACUACGUGCCAGCAGCCGCGGUAAUACGUAGGUGGCAAGCGUUGUCCGGAUUUAUUGGGCGUAAAGCGAGCGCAGGCGGUUUCUUAAGUCUGAUGUGAAAGCCCCCGGCUCAACCGGGGAGGGUCAUUGGAAACUGGGAGACUUGAGUGCAGAAGAGGAGAGUGGAAUUCCAUGUGUAGCGGUGAAAUGCGUA